CCGACUCCUGAGCAUCAUUCAAGGAAUUCUCUGGUCUCUAAACCCAAGUCUAAAGGCAGCUGAUUUAUCUGAUUUAUCCCUGGGAGCCACACCCAGCACAGGGCCAAGCACAAACACAAGUAAGUGUGAAUGAGAACACUUGUGGAAGGAAUAGAGGAAUGAAAGGAUGAAAGGAGGAAUGGAAUGAUGGAAGAGAGGAAGGAUUAGAAGCCCAUACUCUCUUCUAUAGCUUCUCUCAACAGAAAAACAAGGCCCCAAGUGUCUAUCCCACAUUGAUUAACCUCAGUCCCUACCACCACUGCUACACCUGAUCCCCAGCCCCCUGCCACACUGUUCACAGCAUUUGUGACUUGCCCUGCCACCCUCAAUACUACUAGGACACAGAGCACUCACCUUAGGCAAGUGACCAGGCCUUGACCAUAGACUGGCAGAGGAAGGAUUUGGAGGCCUGGUCUGGGCCUUCAAAGACCUAGCAUCACAUGAACGAGGACAGUGAGUCACUUGGGAUAUGGAGAGACGCAAGAGGAUCAGAAGUUUGAGGCCACCCUCAGGAACACAGCAAGUCUGAGGGCAGCCCGAGCCACACACGCUUCUUACCAAGAAAGGAUGAAGCCAAUGUUCCCACUCUAUCCUAAAAUAGGCUG
rnacentral:lncRNA from 1 species